rnacentral:misc_RNA from 1 species
AAAAAAAAAAAAAAAAGACAUUUGAUAAAGAUCAGUUCUAUUUAUCAAUACAUUUACAUGAUUAAACUUAUCAACAUUCAGGCAAUUCUUUGGAACAGAGAAUAAAUAUAUGAAAAGUAUCUGUAUAUUCUUUACAUACAAUCUCUUGACUUCAAAUAUUUAUAGUCAGUUCUGCUUUUGUUAAAGACUUAAAACAUUUUACUUUGAAGGUCCUCUCCACCUAAUAGCCUAUUCUUUUUGGUAUAGCACACAUUCUAACAAGUUUGAAACGAGUUGUCAUUUACCCAAAAAAAUAAAAUAAAUAAAUAAUUUCAAGGAAAUAAUUAUAACCACACCAGACAAUGACACCUUGAUGAUAAAGAAAACAUUGUUUAUCCAGCCAUUGAUUUUUUUGAACCCAUUAAUGUAAAGAUCUCAUUCAUCAUGUGCACUAUAGCCACAAAUUGUUGUGUAAUAGUAAUAUUAUGUGAUUUACGUUUACCUCAAAGUGGAAAUACAAACUAAAGAGUACUUCCAAAUUUGUCUGAAGACACUCCCCUAAAUGUAUUGAAGUAUAAAUGAUAUAACUGAUACAACUCCAACACAAAAUUCACAAAGACCCAUUCCAAGUUGCCAACUCUGAACUGAAAGCAACACCAGUGCGUGCCAAAGCAAUUUGUAUCAAUUCCGUUUUCUAAUUUGAGCCAUUUUUGUGCCCAGCUGAAAAUUUGUAAUUUGGAAACAACCAAAUUUUGGGGUUUUCUGUAGGAACCCAAUUUUCUCUUUUAAGAACUAACUAAAAAACAAAUAUGUCGUAAUAAUAUAAUUAUAUUUGACAAUUAGAAAACAAAAACCAAAUAACUAAAAACAAAUCCAUACCAAACAGGGUCCAAAACAAUUUUAAAAAAUCAUGAAAAGGAAAACGAAUUCCCAUCCCGUGCAAAGCUCAAGACUAGAGUAUAUGUUAUGAGUCCGGUAUUGCUGUUUGAGUUGCUCUUAAGAAAAGUAUCGUCUAUUAAAAUUUAAUUUUAAAUUAAA